UACGUAGGGCGCGAGCGUUGUCCGGAAUUACUGGGCGUAAAGCGCGUGUAGGCGGUCUGCUAAGUCGGGUGUGAAAGCCCUGGGCUCAACCCAGGAAGUGCACUCGAAACUGGCAGGCUAGAGUACUGGAGAGGUUGGUGGAAUUCUCGGUGUAGAGGUGAAAUUCGUAGAUAUUCGGAAGAACACCAGUGGCGAAGGCGGCUCACUGGACUGGUAUUGACGCUGAGGUGCGAAAGCGUGGGGAGCAAACAGG
rnacentral:rRNA from 1 species